CCACACCACGUCAAAUGCCACACUAAAUUCAUCACCAUUCACCCAUAUGAUAAAGCAUCAGGAAAUUUACCUAAACCUGAGGAGUAAGGCUGUUGGUUGCUGUGAUUUCCAUUUUUACGGUUUUUUAUCAUGAAACUUUCAGUGAGCUUGUUACUUAAGAGCACGUAAUAGAUCCUAGCCAAUGCGUACCUUUGUCCAUGACGGAAGAGAGACUUCCAGCAAGUUUUGCUCCAUCCUCAUCUUCCCGACGUACACUCAUCUAGCUUCACUGCUUUUGCUGCUACAACUUGUCUUACUUCACCGACGAGUUGGAAAACUUCCGUGGUCGCUACCCUUUGCUGUUACACACCUGCAGUUACUUACCUCGGGAUUAUGGCCAGGUAAUGCAGAGGAAAUUUCGAGAAGAUGGACACCAUAACGUCGCCGGUAUCUCCAAAGUGUCA